GAGGCUGACUUACGGAAAGGUUGGUGGAUGAUGAACUGUAGGGUGAAUGACAGGUAGUGAUUGCUGCUGGUCAGCAAAGGUGUGCCACCAGACUCGAUGGAGGGUCUCAAAGAAACAAGGUUGGAUCUGAAGGAGAGGAACAAGGUAAUUAGUCAAAGAAACACUUGGAAUGAAAGGAGUACCUAGGACGGUCACCCGAGGUACCACUCAGGUGAGCUGAUGCUCUGAUGUCUUCUAGCCGCCUUAAGUUCUUCUCCUUAUGGGCGAGAUGGAAAGCACCUGCGGCUGGCACCCUGCUGGAGAAAGGUCACAGCUGGACCCAUAAAGCAUCUGUUUUCAAGAACAUCCAUCCGUUGUAUAUACCUGCUUGUCCAUGCAGGGUUGCAGGAGGGCUGGUGCUCAUCUCCAGCUGUCAUUGGGGGCGAGAGGCAGGGUACACCGUGUAUGUUUAAUCUCUCCUUGUAACAAGUAUAGAUACAAGCACCACAUUCAAACAUUCUGUCAUAGAAGAACUCUUCUGUGACUAUUUAGCUGACUUUAUCAAAAUAUUCAAAGGGCUGAUGGUUUCAGAUGGGGGUUCAAUUCAGGUAUAAACCUGAAUUUAUACCUGAAUAUAGCUUCUCAUAUACCAUAAAAGGAUGCUAAAAGAAACAUGCACAAAUAAAAGCAAAUCAGCUGAGAAAGAAAAUGCCUUUCAAUGCACAGUAUGUGAGUUUCUGCAGUUGUCUGUGGCUCACCUGGGCUUUUCUCUCUACUGUAAACUUCUUACUGGGAGACAGAAACGGGUUCUUCUGAUCACAUUAGAUUCACCCCGAUGGCUUUUCCAGCUAUUGUCACUUGACACCAUUCCAUUAAAGCUUUCCAGCUAGAGGAUUAACGACAGGAUGCUAUAUACUUUAGCUGAGUGCCAGAGGGCAGGUUAAAUCAUGCACCGCGUUUUCAUAAGUUGUUGUAUUUUAUUUUAGCCUGUCCAGAUUUAUACCAGCAUCAAGUUUUAAAGUUGCUCUAUUCAUCACUUUGGUCUCCAAAUAAAUAAAAUGUAUUACUGAUAUAAUGUUGGUCAGAUAAUGGAUUUCUCCAGAUGAAUUGGAUCUGAUUGUUUUGUAAAAGUGCAGUUUGUUGUGACUCGGCGCUCAGUAAAAGAAUUGAACUGA